rnacentral:rRNA from 1 species
AUUGAACGCUGGCGGCAUGCCUAACACAUGCAAGUCGAACGGCAGCACGGCAGUAGCAAUACUGUGGGUGGCGAGUGGCGGACGGGUGAGGAAUACGUCGGAAUCUGCCCAGUCGUGGGGGAUAACUAGCCGAAAGGUUAGCUAAUACCGCAUACGACCGAGAGGUGAAAGCGGGGGACCGCAAGGCCUCGCGCGAUUGGAUGAGCCGACGUCGGAUUAGCUAGUUGGCGGGGUAAAGGCCCACCAAGGCGACGAUCCGUAGCUGGUCUGAGAGGAUGAUCAGCCACACUGGAACUGAGACACGGUCCAGACUCCUACGGGAGGCAGCAGUGGGGAAUAUUGGACAAUGGGCGCAAGCCUGAUCCAGCAAUGCCGCGUGUGUGAAGAAGGCCUUCGGGUUGUAAAGCACUUUUAUCAGGAACGAAAAGCGUUGGAUUAAUACUCUGACGUGCUGACGGUACCUGAGGAAUAAGCACCGGCUAACUUCGUG